rnacentral:rRNA from 1 species
UACGUAGGGGGCAAGCGUUGUCCGGAUUCAUUGGGCGUAAAGAGCGUGUAGGCGGCCAGGUAGGUCGGUUGUGAAAACUGGAGGCUCAACCUUCAGAGGUCGACCGAAACCAUCUGGCUAGAGUCCGGGAGAGGAGAGUGGAAUUCCUGGUGUAGCGGUGAAAUGCGCAGAUAUCAGGAAGAACACCGGUGGCGAAGGCGCUCUGCUAGGCCGCAACUGACACUGAGGGACGAAAGCUAGGGGAGCGAAUGGG